rnacentral:lncRNA from 1 species
CCUGAGGCCCACUCUUUAUCACUGCCUCUCUCCCAAGAGCUACCCAGACCACUCAGUAGACCAGUGCCCAGCUCUCUUUCUAGGCUUAAACUUGGCAGCAGAGUCCCAUUUACUUAACGUGCUGAAGGUAGAGCGAGGUGGACGUGCACGCCUCAUGGCUAAAGAUAAAUGCCAGCUAAUGCCUGAAGUGUGGAAAACAUCGUGAACAAAUUCAGGGCUACUGUGUUCAUCCUCCCAUCCCUAGGCCAGUGGGUCUCUGACUGGUGAACACAGGGCUGCUGCCUCCGUGGGCCUCAGUUCUGAGCCUGCCCGCACUCUGCAUCCCAUACACGUCUUCCCAGUCCCACCAGAGAGCUGGCUCCAGACCCGCUUUAGAAGAGCUGGUGGCCUUUCCUGAAGCCAGCCGUGUGCACUGGGAACUGAAGUGUAAACAGGAGCAAAGCUCAAGGCCUCGCUGGUAAUUCUCCCUUUGUGGUGGGCAUUAGCUAGCCUCACUCACGAAGGGGACAGCCCAGGGGUGUAAGAUGCCAAGUGCCCUUAGACACCUCCACUGCCUGGGGGUGCCAGGUGGCCUCGGUGUGGCUGGCAGCCCAGGGUGAGUCCUGUGAUGAGCAAGUGCAUGGGCAAGCAGGCCUGGCUUUCUCCAUCUGCAAAGCAGGGAUGGUGUCUGCCUCAUUUAGAGGCUGGGGAGUGGGCGAGAUAAAAGGGUGGUUGAAGGGGCUUCAGCAUGAGCCUGGUGGCGUGUGAUGGAACAGACACCCAGCUGCCAAGGGGCAAAUACAUCCAUACCCCUGCCCCACCUUCUAGGCCUAGUAAAGUAGUAAAAUAGUCAGUAAAGGCACCAAUUGUCCCCACCUGUGUCUAGCUGCACAUCAAGGAAAUGUGUCUGGUCCAGGCAUUGUGACCUGUAAGGGACUCCACCCCGCCCUGCCACAGAGCAGUGGGCGGGGAACCCGGACCUACAUGGAGGCGCCUCCCCAGGAUGGACAUGGCACCCACAUUGGCACCCUCUGGUCUUGUCCCCACAGGACACCCCUCUGUCAUGGUGAUCAAGACGGCUAGGGGGCAGGGAAGGCGAGAAGAGGGAGGAGACACUGGUGUGACUCAUAGCAAAGUAAGAGCUUCUUCCCUCCUCUCUGCACCCCAAAUACGGAAUGAAAAGAUCUAAAGAAGUCUGGCCAGAGGGACACUGAGAUGAGCAAUGUGGUUGGAGGAGAGGAUACUGACCCAAGAAUUCUCUGGAUAAGAAGAAGGAGGAGGGGAAGCCUGAAGUGGAUGGGUCGAGCCUCAGCUGUGGAAGAAUUGCUAAUUACAGCCACCAUAAGGAAAUAUCAAUGAUGGACGUCAAUAUUAUUGCCUCCUGCAUCCCUGCCUGUUUAUUUGGAGAUGAAAAGCGCCCUAGGGUCAUCUCUCCAGGACGAAGAUGAGUGAUGACAGAAGGGAGGAGAGCUACACAUGGAGAAAAGGGCAUCCUCCAGCUGGAUUCAUUCAUGAAACCAGGACCCAUUUCCUCUGGGCAGAGUUCUCUCCACUGAGGGCCCAGGGCUGGGGCUGAGGGCAAAGGAACCUGCACAGGGAGGAGGAACUAGUGAUCCUGCUCCCAGCCCUGGUUCACCAAGUGACUGCAUGUAUGCCUCUUUGUGCCUCAGUUAACUCAUCUGAUAAAUGGGUAUGACAAUUCCAGU